AGAGGUGCGAACUCAGAAUUAGUGCAAUGUCGGUGGAAGUAAAAGCCUCCGUAGCAGCUGCGUAAACAGAACCUUCAGCCUGGGGUCUGCACGUAACCCUGGCCUGGUGUCUUUUUAUAUGGUGACCAGCAAAUGGUGCACACAAGCUCGAGUCUCCCGACACGUGAUCGCAUAACAGCGAUUUGUGAGUCACACGGGGUAGCAGCAAGUAAGUGUACGUGCUCCCGUUCUCAUACAAAUGUAUGACGUAGUGUUUUUAGCAUUUAUCAUUUCAUGUUCGCCAUUUGUGUAGGAACAGAAAGCUCACGUCAGGUGAGAGUGCACUGCUUCGCGUCAUCCACACUUGAACGCAUUGGUACUGGAGUUGUAGGUCUAGUUCAUCUAGGCUGGCCCAAACACGAGGAUUGCCGUCGUCUGUUCGACCAGCCACUGUUUUCCCAGGACCGAAUUUGUCUACUUUUAUCUAUUUGAAUGUAACCUACGAGUGCUAUAGGCAUCUGCCACCCGUAUCGUGGGCUAAUUGGGAGAGUAGGGGGAAGGCCGGCUAGUGGUAGCCCGUUAACCUAAAUUGUUUGUUAUUUUGUUUAUUAUAUAUUUCUUGUGUGGCCCAUGGGCAUUUUUUCACCAUCUCUUGUGGGAACAGUAUUUGUUUGCAGUGUUUUAGUGUUUGAUUUUCAUCUGCUGCUAACUGCAUGAGUUUUAUUUGCCCUUGUUGCUAACCAGCAUGUAUUUUGAUUAGUGCAUAAUAAAUGUUUAUUGAUUGCA